UUUGGCAUGAGGGAUCUAGGGGCAGGACCCUGGACUUCUUCUUAGACAACCUAACCUCUUUGGUCCAGAACUAUCUCAAGGUUCUGCUACCAACAUGUUAGAAGCAAAAGGCCCAGGAAACAACCCAGUCACUUCAUGGGAAUUGGCAGCUUUAAAUGUCUUCAUGGACCCUCAUUAUCUUAUAAACUUCCCUCUACUACUUCGUUCCUCCAUGGUGGAUAUUCUCCAUCUUCAGCAAAUCUGAGGAAGGUUUGAGAUCAUAUCCCCACACACUGAGAACAAGCAGUGAGUUAUCACACUCAAAGCAAGAACAAUCUGUAAUUUCGGCCUGAAGAGGAUUCUGCAAUUUUCCUAAGAAAAGAAGGCCUGCCUUCCCUCUUUGUGUGUGAGACAAAUGGAGUACUCAAUCACCUAGCAGGUUGUCAACCAUCAGUCCUUUAGUAUGUGCCAAGUUGGUUCUCUGCUAGGCACUUGGAAUGUAGUGAGAAUAAUCUUGCUCUCACAGUCCC
rnacentral:lncRNA from 1 species